GCUAUGUAGCUCAGCUGGUUAGAGCAUCGCACUCAUAAUGCGGGGGUCAUAGGUUCGAGUCCCAUCAUAGCC
rnacentral:tRNA from 1 species